CGUGUAGGCGGUGCGGUAAGUUGGGCGUGAAAUCCCCGAGCUUAACUCGGGUGGGCCGUUCAAGACUGCCGUGCUAGGGUGCGGGAGAGGGAAGUGGAAUUUCCGGUGUAGCGGUGAAAUGCGUAGAUAUCGGGAGGAACACCUGCGGCGAAGGCGGCUUCCUGGACCGUAACCGACGCUGAGGCGCGAAAGCUAGGGGAGCAAACAGGAUUAGAUACCCUGGUAGUCCUAGCCCUAAACGAUGAGCACUGGGUGUGGCCCCUCACGAGGCCGUGCCGAAGCUAACGCAUUAAGUGCUCCGCCUGGGAGUACGGUCGCAAGGCUGAA
rnacentral:rRNA from 1 species